GCAACAAGUUGUUCUGAGGUGUUUUAAAUGGAAAAAAUUGUUUCAUUAAUUUUAUGCAUCUUGAUUCUAAUCUUAUUGUUGUGGGCAAUAUAUUUUGCUAAAAAAUAGUUAACAUGUUCCAAUAUACUUGUUUAAUACUUUAUGUAUCUUCGAGUCGCGUCUUAGAUUCGAGUAUUUCCCGGUCCCUCACCUUAGAAAUUUAAGCUUUUUAAUAUUAUACUGCGUUUCAACUGGAUAACUCCUUUCAGCUUCUAUAUCUGUGUGUCAGCACCCACGUCACCAACUCUCCACCCAUUCGAGUGUAUUUAUAUAUGCAUCAACGAUGAGUUGAUACGGAGCGAUUUACGUAAAUCAAUUCUGCUGCUGCAAUGAUCCAGCCAGAUUGUUUUGCAGACUUUAGACCGCUGCUACACAUGUACUGGUUCAGUUCUAAUAAACAAUCUGUUUGUGUCUGACAACUGGAAAUAGGAUGAAUUAUGUGAGAAUAUGCAUUUUAGUAUGUAUGGUUUGUGGGAAGGGGUCGGGUGACGUGCUAAAAUUUCUAAUGUCACUUUCAUUUGCGAAAUAUUGCGUUGGACGUAAAGUUGCCUCUCGUAAUGUUUACUGGUGAUCAUAAAAUUAAAGUUGUUUUUGUUUGUACUUUGUUUGUGCCCCACUAAUAACGUGACUGUUUACUAGUUUUGAUCUCGUGCUUCGCUCGGGCCAUGCUGCUUAAACAAACGUUCCAGCCUGUAACUCAAAAUAUUUGACUUUAUUUUAGAUAUACAUAAAUUAGAAAAAUUUUAUGUAGUAAAUUACAUCCAAAGUCGACUUAUGCUUCAUUUCUAUGUGUUUAUAAAAAUUCCAACAUUUUGAAAGAAUUCCGAUACAAGUUUCUUCUUAUUUAGGCAAGUUAAAAAGAAUUGAUAGAAUCAAACUUAUAUACCACAAAGCGCAUAGACACUCAAACAAACUGUCUUCAAAUUGUAAGAAAAAGGCACAAAGUUAUGAUGAAACCAAUACUUACAUACAUACAUGACCUUUAGUUUUAGACCCGGAAAAUGUGCAUUAUAAGAUCUCUCGCUUAUAUGUAAUAAAUGGAAAAUGUACAACAUGCAAACGUC